CGACCUCAGUUCAGGUGGGAUUCCCCGUUGAAUUUAAGCAUAUUAGUAAACGGUGGAAAAGAAACCAACAGGGAUUCCCUUAGUAGCGGCGAGUGAACAGGGAGUAGCCCAGCACUGAAUCCCAAAGGCUUUGCUUUUAGGGAAAUGUAGUGUUUGGGAGGGCUCAAUAACCCUAAAAUAUGUGCAUCUCGUCCAAGUCCAUCUUGAACGAGGCCACGGUCCCGAGAGGGUGCCAGGCCCGUUGUUGGCAGAUGCCUAUUUUGGGUGAGCCUCUCCUUAGAGUCGGGUUGCUUGAGAGUGCAGCCCUAAGCAGGUGGUAAACUCCAUCUAAGGCUAAAUACAACCACUAGACCGAUAGCGAACAAGUACCGUGAGGGAAAGUUGAAAAGAACUUUGAAGAGAGAGUUCAAGAGUACGUGAAACCGCUCAGGGGUAAACGGAAAAGAUCUGAAAUUCCGAAAGGGGAGAUUCACGUCUUACCACAUGCCGGCCUUUUUUAUGUAUAAGAGAUGGUCAGUUGUCCUAUCCAGUGCAAACUGUGGUAGAGAAUCUGGUCGCUCACAUUUAAAAGUUUUUGGUAGUGGUGGACCGCACUUCUCCCUUAGUAGGACGUUGCGACCUGUUAUUUGACGUUCUAAGUACAGUUGAAGAGCCUGUAUUUAGGUAAAACUUUUGUUUUAUCUUGUGCAGAUUUAACAUUUUGUACUGAACGUUAUUUUAUGACAGUAUCAAAUGACGGUGUUGAGCCACUUGAAGUUAUUUAUUUAAUGGAAAGUGUCAUUGGUCGUUUGCAAGUGGGUAAGGUUUGUGUUAAUUCGGACUUAUGUCCGUUUUACUAUUCCUCCUACUGUUGGUAAACUGUACCUCUGACCGUGCUCACAACACCAGUCAGCAGCGAUCCAGGUUCAGAUUCUUAUCCGACCCGUCUUGAAACACGGACCAAGGAGUUUAGCGUGUACGCGAGUCAUUGGGUAAAGAAAACCCAAAGGCGAAAUGAAAGUAAAUAAAGGAAUAUGAUUUUAUCAGUUUCUUUAUAGGGAAGAUGGUAAGCAUGUCAGUAAUGAUAGUAGCUUGCUAUUAUUUAUUAUUGACAAUAGCUUGCCCGCACUCCCGGGGCGCUUGUUUCUCGCUUUGCGAGUCACUGCGCACCUAGAGCGUACACGCUGAUACCCGAAAGAUGGUGAACUAUGCCUGGCCAGGACGAAGCCAGGGGAAACCCUGGUGGAGGUCCGCAGCGAUUCUGACGUGCAAAUCGAUCGUCGGAGCUGGGUAUAGGGGCGAAAGACCAAUCGAACCAUCUAGUAGCUGGUUCCCUCUGAAGUUUCCCUCAGGAUAGCUUGCGCUCAUUUGAUACGAGUCUUAUCCGGUAGAGCGAAUGAUUAGAGGCAUUGGGGUCGAAACGACCUCAACCUAUUCUCAAACUCCAAAUAGAUAAGAACCCCGGCUUUCUUAAAAAUGAAGCCGUGGGAUUCGGAUCAGAGUGCCAAGUGGGCCAAUUUUGGUAAGCAGAACUGGCGCUGUGGGAUGAACCAAACGCAGAGUUAAGGCGCCUAAAUUGACGCUCAUGUGAAACCAUGAAAGGCGUUGGUUGCUUAAGACAGCAGGACGGUGGCCAUGGAAGUUGGAAUCCGCUAAGGAGUGUGUAACAACUCACCUGCCGAAGCAACUAGCCCUGAAAAUGGAUGGCGCUGUAGCGUCGUGCCUAUACUCUGCCGUCAAUAACAUAAUUAGCAGUUUUUCUGUGGUAAUGGUUUGUAGUUUCGGCUGCACAAUCAUCCAUAGUAUUUUUAACUGCUAUUAAGUUUUGACGAGUAAGAGGGCCGCGGCGAUGAGCGCAGAAGGGUCUGGGCGAGAGCCCGCCUGGAGCCAUCGCUGGUGCAGAUCUUGGUGGUAGUAGCAAAUACUCCAGCGAGGCCCUGGAGGACUGAUGUGGAGAAGGGUUUCUUGUGAACAGCUGUUGCACAAGAGUCAGUCGAUCCUAAGCCCUAGGAGAAAUCCGAAAAGAUCAGUUGCCGUUAACCUACCACAGUUGGUGGCGCUGUUUGGGCGAAAGGGAAUCUGGUUCCUAUUCCAGAACCCGGCAGCGGAACCGUUCCAAAUCGGGCCUAUAACUAGACUCGUCGGGGUAACCCGAAAAGACCCGGAGACGCCGUAGGGAAAUUCGGAGAGAGUUGUCUCUUCUCUAUAAGCGUUCGAGUUCCCUGGAAACCUCUAGCAGGGAGAUAGGGUUUGGAACGCGAAGAGCACCGCAGUUACGGCGGUGUCCGGAUCUUCCCUACGGACCUUGAAAAUCCGGGAGAGGGCCACGAGGAACUCCGCGCCGGUUCGUACCCAUAUCCGCAGCAGGUCUCCAAGGUCAAUAGCCUCUAGUCGAUAGAAUAAUGUAGGUAAGGGAAGUCGGCAAAUCCGAUCCGUAACUUCGGGAUAAGGAUUGGCUCUGAGGACUGAGUCGUGCCGGGCUUGGUCGGGAAGUGGAGCGGUGUCAACGUGCCGGGCCUGG
rnacentral:rRNA from 1 species